GUUCUUUCGAUCAUUCUUACUACUGAUAUUCGCUAACUGCUAACAUUUAUCUAGUUUGAAUGCUCAAUUAAUACUCAUUGGAAUAUUCAUAGAUAUUCGUUGUUCUUUAACGCUAGUGUUUAUCGAUAAAAAGGCGCGGCAACAGCCGCAAUAAAAUUAUUAAGUACAUGCGGGUAAAACGGUCAGAUCGUAAUUUCGAAAUUUGGGUAUUGUGAGUUAAACGUGAUACCUCAAAUUCAACUGAUUUCCAUUUACAGCUACCAUGAACCUUGAAGAAUAUCGCCAACAUGGCAAAGAAAUGGUGGAUUACAUAGCUAAUUACCUUGAAACUAUUCGGACAAGAAGAGUGUAUCCAGCUGUGUCACCUGGAUAUUUAAGGAAUAUUUUACCAACAUCAGCACCAGUUAAUGGUGAACCAUGGGAAAACAUUUUUCAAGAUAUCGAAAAAUGUAUCAUGCCAGGCGUAACUCAUUGGCAAAGUCCUCAUAUGCAUGCAUAUUUUCCGGCACUUAAUUGCCCAGCUAGUUUAUUAGCGGACAUGUUAGCCGAUGCUAUUAAUUGUCUUGGAUUCACUUGGGCAUCAAGUCCAGUUUGUACAGAGUUAGAGACAGUUGUAAUGAAUUGGCUUGGAGAAAUGAUUGGAUUACCUGAAGAAUUUUUACAUUGUCCGGAAGGAUCUGGUGGUGGAGUAAUACAAACAACUGCUUCUGAAUCCACGUUAAUUUGUCUUUUAGCUGCUAGAUCACGAGCUUUACGUACUAUACAAGAAAAUGAUCCUGAUAAGUCACCAGGAGAAAUUAAUUCCCAUCUUGUUGCUUAUUGUUCUGAUCAAGCUCACUCCAGUGUAGAAAAAGCCGGGCUAAUUGGACUAGUACAAAUGAGGUACAUCGAAUCAGAUGAUAAAUUGAGUGUGCGGGGAGACAUGUUGAUGGAAGCAAUCAUCCGGGAUCGUGAAGCUGGAUUAGUACCAUUCUUUGUAUGUGCAACUCUUGGAACAACUGGUGCUUGUUCUUUUGACAACCUUAAUGAAAUAGGACCAAUCUGUGAAAAAAAUUGUAUAUGGUUACAUAUCGAUGCUGCGUAUGCAGGAAGUGCUUUUGUCUGUCCUGAGUUUCGAGGAUGGUUACAAGGUGUUGAAUUUGCUGAUUCUAUAGCAUUUAAUCCAAGUAAAUGGCUCAUGGUCCAUUUUGACUGUACAGCUAUGUGGGUCAAGAAUAGUCAAGCACUUCACAGGACUUUCAACGUUGAUCCAUUGUAUUUAAAACAUGAAAAUUCUGGACUUGCAAUUGAUUACAUGCAUUGGCAAAUACCGCUAUCAAAGAGAUUUCGAGCAUUAAAACUUUGGUUUGUGAUCAGAAAUUAUGGAAUAACUGGGUUGCAGAAGCAUAUUCGUGAAGGUGUUCGUUUAGCUAAAAAAUUUGAGGCUCUCGUUUUGGGGGAUUCGAGAUUCGAAAUUCCAGCAGUAAGACAUCUUGGUAUGGUUGUAUUUCGUCUUCGUGGAGAGAAUUCAUUGACAGAGAGACUUCUUAAAAAAAUGAAUAGCAAUGGCAGAGUUCACUGUGUUCCAGCAUCAUUGCAUGGAAAAUAUGUUAUACGUUUUACUGUUACUUCAACAAAUACAACCAAUGAGGAUAUUUUGCGUGAUUGGGCUGAAAUAAAAACAACGGCUUCUGAAAUUUUAUCAACGGCUACUGUUUCACCAGCUAGAGUUAAAGUUUCUCUUGCAGAAACACGUCAGAAAAACGAGAACUUUGGAUCAAGUUUAUUACUCGCUAAUUCGCCAAUGUCACCAAAAAUAGUUAAUGGAAGUUUUGCAGCAAUAUAUGACACAGCUGACGUAUUCAAUGAUUGUAUGAAGGCAUUUGGACAACUGCGCUUAGAACCACGUGACAGCCCAGGUAAACGCAUCCGAAAAAUCAAAGGCAUGCACUUCUAAUCUUCUUUUAUGAUUCAAUGCGACGUCGCAUUCGAGGUAUUUUAAUGUCAGGUAAACAAUUUUCGUUAGAUUCACGAAUGGACUUGGUUCAGGGAUAUGCAUCUUGUGGACGUCCUUUAUCCGAACCUUCUACGACAUUACCUUUAAU
rnacentral:misc_RNA from 1 species